UCCGAAGGGGGCUAUCGUUGCUCGGAAUUACUGGGCGUAAAGCGCGCGUAGGCGGGCCGUUAAGUCGGGGGUGAAAGCCUGGGGCUCAACCUCAGAAUUGCCUUCGAUACUGGCGGCCUGGAGCAUGAUAGAGGCGAGUGGAAUUCCGAGUGUAGAGGUGAAAUUCGUAGAUAUUCGGAGGAACACCAGUGGCGAAGGCGACUCGCUGGAUCAUUGCUGACGCUGAGGCGCGAAAGCGUGGGUAGAAAACAGG
rnacentral:rRNA from 1 species